ACUCAAAGGAAUUGACGGGGGCCCGCACAAGCGGAGGAACAUGUGGUUUAAUUCGAUGAUACGCGAGGAACCUUACCCGGGCUUAAAUGUAGGCUGCAUGAGGUGGAAACACCCUUCCCUUCGGGGCUGCCUACAAGGUGCUGCAUGGUUGUCGUCAGCUCGUGCCGUGAGGUGUCGGGUUAAGUCCCAUAACGAGCGCAACCCCUAUCGUUAGUUGCCAUCGGGUGAAGCCGGGAACUCUAGCGAGACUGCCACCGUAAGGUGAGAGGAAGGUGGGGAUGACGUCAAAUCAGCACGGCCCUUAUGUCCGGGGCUACACACGUGUUACAAUGGACGGUACAGAGGGCCGCUACCCCGCGAGGGGAUGCCAAUCUCGAAAGCCGUUCUCAGUUCGGAUCGCAGUCUGAAACCCGACUGCGUGAAGUUGGAUUCGCUAGUAAUCGCGCAUCAGCCAUGGCGCGGUGAAUACGUUCCCGGGCCUUGUACACACCGCCCGU
rnacentral:rRNA from 1 species